UACACGCUGUGACUAGCAUAUCAAUAAGCGGAGGAAAAGAAACUAACAAGGAUUCCCCUAGUAACGGCGAGUGAAGCGGGAAGAGCUCAAAUUUGAAAUCUUAAAGGGUUUCCCUUUACGAAUUGUAGUUUAAAGAAGUGUUUUCUGUUGAGGUUUUGGUAAAAGUUCUUUGGAAUAGGACAUCAUAGAGGGUGAGAAUCCCGUAUUUGACCUUUACUUUCAACUUUGUGAUACACUUUCAAAGAGUCGGAUUGUUUGAGAAUGCAGUCCAAAAUGGGUGGUAAAUUUCAUCUAAAGCUAAAUAUUGGCGAGAGACCGAUAGCGAACAAGUACCGUGAGGGAAAGAUGAAAAGAACUUUGAAAAGAGAGUUAAACAGUACGUGAAAUUGUCAAAAGGGAAGCGUUUGACACCAGUGUUGUUUUUCUGAAAAUCAAUUAAAGAACUGUUUAUGCUAAGUUGUUUAGACUUUAUCAGCUAACUAUUUAGUUUUGAGCUUUUCUUUAAUGCACUUUUCAGUUAACAAGUCAACAUCAAUUUCUUUUGCUGUAAAAAAGCUUGAGGAAGGUGGCUUGAGAUUCGUCUUAAGUGUUUAUAGCCUCUUGCCUAUGCAGUCGGAGAGAUUGAGGUCUGCAGCGUAGAUCCUUCGGGGCUAAAUGCAUUUGUGCUAAGUUAUAGCAUUUUAUAGACAACUUGUUGACUAUGAUUUGUCUUGUAGCUUACUCGCUUAUGUUAUUUUACCUACGCUUAGGAUGUUGAAGUCAUCGUAUCGCGC
rnacentral:rRNA from 1 species